ACCAGCCAGCCACAGGCAUCCAUCUAACUGACCGGGCCAAUGAAAGACGGAAUUCGGAUCCUUUCUUGCAUGAGCCGUGGAUCUGAGUUU
rnacentral:lncRNA from 1 species